CACGUAGGAGCCAAGCGUUAUCCGAAUUCACUGGGCGUAAAGCGCGUGUAGGCGGCUUGGUAAGUUGGAUGUGAAAGCUCCUGGCUCAACUGGGAGAGGACGUUCAAUACUGCCGGGCUAGAGGGCGACAGAGGGAGGUGGAAUUCCCGGUGUAGUGGUGAAAUGCGUAGAUAUCGGGAGGAACACCAGUGGCGAAAGCGGCCUCCUGGGUCGCACCUGACGCUCAGACGCGAAAGCUAGGGGAGCGAACGGGAUUAGAAACCCCGGUAGUCCUAGCCGUAAACGAUGUAGACUUGGUGUCGGUGGGGUAAAAGCCAUCGGUGCCGAAGCUAACGCGAUAAGUCUACCGCCUGGGGACUACGGCCGCAAGGUUAAA
rnacentral:rRNA from 1 species